GAUGAACGCUGGCGGCGUGCCUAAUACAUGCAAGUCGAGCGAACAGAUAAGGAGCUUGCUCCUUUGACGUUAGCGGCGGACGGGUGAGUAACACGUGGGUAACCUACCUAUAAGACUGGAAUAACUCCGGGAAACCGGGGCUAAUGCCGGAUAACAUUUAGAACCGCAUGGUUCUAAAGUGAAAGAUGGUUUUGCUAUCACUUAUAGAUGGACCCGCGCCGUAUUAGCUAGUUGGUAAGGUAACGGCUUACCAAGGCAACGAUACGUAGCCGACCUGAGAGGGUGAUCGGCCACACUGGAACUGAGACACGGUCCAGACUCCUACGGGAGGCAGCAGUAGGGAAUCUUCCGCAAUGGGCGAAAGCCUGACGGAGCAACGCCGCGUGAGUGAUGAAGGUCUUCGGAUCGUAAACCUCUGUUAUUCGGGAAGAACAAAUGUGUAAGUAACUGUGCACGUCUUGACGGUACCUAAUCAGAAAGCCACGGCUAACUACGUG
rnacentral:rRNA from 1 species